GGUUGACCUCGGAUCAGGUAGGGAUACCCGCUGAACUUAAGCAUUC
rnacentral:rRNA from 1 species